rnacentral:rRNA from 1 species
CAGUCGCCACGGGAAUACGAAGGGGGCUAGCGUUGCUCGGAAUUACUGGGCGUAAAGGGAGCGUAGGCGGACAUUUAAGUCAGGGGUGAAAUCCCAGAGCUCAACUCUGGAACUGCCUUUGAUACUGGGUGUCUUGAGUGUGAUAGAGGUAUGUGGAACUCCGAGUGUAGAGGUGAAAUUCGUAGAUAUUCGGAAGAACACCAGUGGCGAAGGCGACAUACUGGAUCAUUACUGACGCUGAGGCUCGAAAGCGUGGGGAGCAAACAGGAUUAGAUACCCCCGUAGUCCCUGUCUCUUAUAC